AGUGAACGCUUGCUUUCUUCCUAACACAUUCAAGUCGAACGGCAGCACAGUAAGAGCUUGCUCUUACGGGUAGCGAGUGGCGGACGGGUGAGGAAUACAUCGGAAUCUACUUUUUCGUGGGGGAUAACGGAGGGAAACUUACGAUAAUACCGCAUACGACCUACGGGUGAAAGCAGGGGAUCUUCGGACCUUGCGCGAUUGAAUGAGCCGAUGUCGGAUUAGCUAGUUGGCGGGGUAAAGGCCCACCAAGGCCACGAUCCGUAGCUGGUCUGAGAGGAUGAUAAGCCACACUGGAACUGAGACACGGUCCAGACUCCUACGGGAGGCAGCAGUGGGGAAUCUUGGACAAUGGGCGCAAGCCUGAUCCAGCCAUACCGCGUGAGUGAAGAAGGUCUUCGGGUUGUAAAGAACUGUUGUUGGGGAAGAAAAGCAGCAUGUGAAUAUCCCGAUGUUCUGACGGUACCCAAAGAAUAAGCACAGGCUAACUUCGGG
rnacentral:rRNA from 1 species